AAGAUUAAGCCAUGCAUGUCUAGGUAUAAACACCUUUAUACAGUGAAACUGCAAAUGGCUCAUUAAAUCAGUUAUAGUUUAUUUGAUAGUACCUUACUACUUGGAUAACCGUGGUAAUUCUAGAGCUAAUACAUGCUAAAAAUCCCGACCUCUGGAACGGAUGUAUUUAUUAGAUAAAAACCAAUGCCUUCGGGCUCCUUGGUGAUUCAUGAUAACUUUGCGAAUCGCAU
rnacentral:rRNA from 1 species